AACAGUAAGAAGGAGAAGGGCUUCAAAUUAUAUAUUUCGAGCUACAUCGACAACUUUGAAGGUGAGUAUUCUCUCAUUUCAUGCUAAAUCCGACUAACUUUAGCGUCUCCGUUCCUGACCUGUCAUAGCGGUCUUUGUAUUAUUUAUAUAUUUUGUUAAACGUAAAUGUAUAGUUUUACGUGUUUUCCCUUAUGCCUAAAGUGCUUGUUUGUGCAGUGUACAUACAAAUUAUGGAAAACGAAUUGUUACUGACUUUUAGUAAUUUCUCAGUUUCCAGUAAGGAUCAGUUCACAGGAGAAGUCAGCGUGAGGGCGACAUGUUUCAGGUCGAUGAGGAAGUCAGAGAAGCCCCAUAGAUUGAGAGUAGGAGAACACAAAAGACAGCUGAACUCUAAAUGAAAUGCAAUUUUUAAACAGAAGUUGUUUGUGGGUUCUACAGCUGUACAAAGACAGGCAUAGUCAGUAAAUGGGUUCAUACGUGCUUCAAUUUAAAGAUAGUAGUAAUUACAGUAUAUGGGUUUAGAAUCUAUUUACAUAUAACAUUAAUUCCUAAUUCUUGUUUUUGUUUAAUUUAAUUAUAUUCACAGAUUGUAUUAAAGGACUCUCGUCCUGUAAUACUGUCACAGAGCUGUUGUUCUUGUGUUGCUGGGACAGCACUGUGCAACCACAUUGUUGCAUUACUCUACCAAGCAGCCCACUACUCUCAGCUUGGCAUCAGUGCAGUUCCUCCAGUUCACAGCUGUACUGAAAUGGAGCAGAGCUGGCACAAACCCAGAACAAUGGGAAUCAAGCCUGGUCCUGUCAACAGAAUGCUGGUUCUGUCUGCAAGACCUAAAGAGAGGAAGCUUGCUGAGGGGUUAAGGAGUACCCUUUACAAGGGUGUCACCAGUGAGCUGCCUGACCUCUCAGUCCUCCAAAUAGCAGAGGCAUAUAAG